rnacentral:tRNA from 1 species
UGCCCAAGGAUGGGAAUCGAACCCACAAUGUUCCGCUUACCGGGCAGAUGCCAUGUCCACUAGGCUACCCUGGAC